AACGGGGGGGGGCCAGCGUUAUUCGGAUUACUAGGCGUAAAGGGUGCGUAGACUUCUUUUUUUUGAGCUAAUGCGAAAUGCUAAGCGAUCGUUUAGUAGGCAUUUUCUACGGAAAAGAUUGAGUUAGGAGCAGGUUAAUUAGAAUUUUUGGUGUAAGGGUUAAAUCUUCCGAUUCCAGAAAGAAUACUCGCAGUGAAGGCGAAUAUCUAGCUUACAACUGACGUUGAGGCACGGAGGUGUGGGUAGCAAACAGG
rnacentral:rRNA from 1 species